UACGUAGGAUGCAAGCGUUGUCCGGAUUUACUGGGCGUAAAGCGUGCGCAGGCGGUUCGCUAAGACAGAUGUGAAAUCCCCGGGCUUAACCUGGGAACUGCAUUUGUGACUGGCGGGCUAGAAUCUGGCAGAGGGGGUAGAAUUCCACGUGUAGCAGUGAAAUGCGUAGAGAUGUGGAGGAACACCGAUGGCGAAGGCAGCCCCUGGGUCAAGAUUGACGCUCAUGCACGAAAGCGUGGGGAGCAAACAGG
rnacentral:rRNA from 1 species